GCCGAGGUGACGGAGUCUGGUUACGUACCCGCCUGCAGAGCGGGUUAUAGGGGUUCAAAUCCCCUCCUCGGCU
rnacentral:tRNA from 1 species